rnacentral:rRNA from 1 species
UACGAAGGGGGCUAGCGUUGCUCGGAAUCACUGGGCGUAAAGCGCGUGUAGGCGGUCCGGUAAGUCCGCUGUGAAAGUCGGGGGCUCAACCCUCGGAUGCCGGUGGAUACUGUCGGGCUUGAGUACGGAAGAGGCGAGUGGAAUCCUGGUGUAGCGGUGAAAUUGCGCAGAUAUCAAGGAGGAACACCAAUUGCGAAGGCAGCUCGCUGGGACGUUACUGACGCUGGAGACGCGAAGCGUGGGAGCAAACAGG